UACGAAGGGUGCAAGCGUUAAUCGGAAUUACUGGGCGUAAAGGGUGCGUAGGCGGUUUCUUAAGUCUGCUGUGAAAUCCCCGGGCUCAACCUGGGAAUGGCAGUGGAUACUGGGAGGCUAGAGUGUGUCAGAGGAUGGUGGAAUUCCCGGUGUAGCGGUGAAAUGCGUAGAGAUCGGGAGGAACAUCAGUGGCGAAGGCGGCCAUCUGGGACAACACUGACGCUGAGGCACGAAAGCGUGGGGAGCAAACAGG
rnacentral:rRNA from 1 species